ensembl:lncRNA
CGAAAUAAUGAAGGGAGCAACAGUCGAGUUUAUUAGGAAUGUAAGAGUCACACAAAAACUUUAAAGAUCAAAAAAGACAGAAUGAAAGCAUCAGAUCGAGGGCGAUCUGUCUGCCUUUCUGUCCUGGUCUUACGAGCGAGGUGGUAACAGGAAGAAGUCCGUCAACCAGUCGGUGAGGUUUGUGUACCAUUUUUUUGUUUCUUUCUUUUUCACUUUAUUUAUAAUUUCCAAGAGACUCUGAUUUUGGGUUAGGGUUAGGGUUUAUAAGAUGUAAGGACAGUUAGCGUUUCCCAGACAUAAGUCCUUGUAUGACCAAUUUGUAGUGAAAGAUGUCGCACUACAUGCCUAAUCUUUAGAUGUUCAGAUGUUUUAUCAGGAUAAUGUCUUGGUUUAGUGCUUAUAGUUUGUAGUUUAUUUAUUUAUAUAGCACAUUAAUGACAACAGGAACAUUGACCAUAACUUAUAAUAUUGGUACCAAUAUUAUAACUGUACAUUUAG